AACGCACAUUGCGCCCGCCAGUAUUCUGGCGGGCAUGCCUGUCCGAGCGUCAUUUCAGCCCUCGAGCCCCUAGCGGGCCCGGUGAUGGGGAUCGACCGCCUGAACCCGCGCACUGCGCUGCGGGUGACGGUCGGCCCCGAAAUACAGUGGCGGUCACGCUGUAGCCUCCGCUGCGUAGUAGCACAACCUCGCACUGGACGGGCAGCGCGGCCGCGCCGUAAAAACCCCCAACUUUUUUUCUGGUUGACCUCGGAUCAGGUAGGAAUACCCGCUGAACUUAA
rnacentral:misc_RNA from 1 species